ACCUCCUAUCGCAUGGUGGGUGGUGGAAAGAUUUAUCGGUGCAGGAUGGGCCCGCGGCCUAUCAGCUUGUUGGUGGGGUAAUGGCCUACCAAGGCGACGACGGGUAGCCGACCUGAGAGGGUGACCGGCCACACUGGGACUGAGACACGGCCCAGACUCCUACGGGAGGCAGCAGUGGGGAAUAUUGCACAAUGGGCGAAAGCCUGAUGCAGCGACGCCGCGUGAGGGAUGACGGCCUUCGGGUUGUAAACCUCUUUCAGCAGGGACGAAGCGCAAGUGACGGUACCUGCAGAAGAAGCACCGGCUAACUACGUGCCAGCAGCCGCGGUAAUACGUAGGGUGCAAGCGUUGUCCGGAAUUACUGGGCGUAAAGAGUUCGUAGGCGGUUUGUCGCGUCGUUUGUGAAAACCAGCAGCUCAACUGCUGGCUUGCAGGCGAUACGGGCAGACUUGAGUACUGCAGGGGAGACUGGAAUUCCUGGUGUAGCGGUGAAAUGCGCAGAUAUCAGGAGGAACACCGGUGGCGAAGGCGGGUCUCUGGGCAGUAACU
rnacentral:rRNA from 1 species